rnacentral:lncRNA from 1 species
GAUAACUGAAUCUUAGUCUUCGUAAUUAAAAGAUACCCCCGGCCUUGAUUCCAAUAGCACCAAUAGCUCAGCUAGGUCGAUUCCCACUAGUGGCAACGCCAACCAUUAUACAUAUAUGAGAGAAAAGGAUUGGGGGAAAACACAAAUCAAAUUUAUUCAAAACCAGAACCAAACUCGGUUGGCGAAGGCUAACCAGAGAUCACAAGCUGCAUGACUUAGAUUUAAUAUCGAAAGGAAGUACAAAUUUAUAAAAAACUGGCUACUUUGCAGUGCAGUUCAACAGAAACAGCUCUCUCUAGAACUGCAGUUGGCUUAUUAAUUAAACUCCUUGCGAAGGAUUAUUGCAAAUUUCAGCCAAAAAAAAAGGAUUAUUGCAAACCCACAGCACUGUCAGACGGUGAAGCCGGAAUCCUUGAAGUUUUGCUGGGUGAUCUCGUCCAGGNNN